UAAUCAAGAUAGCUUUUAUCCAUCUGAUAAACAGUAACAUUAUUUAAAGCAAUUAAUUAGAGCUUUUUCUAUAAUUUGGUAGGGAAAUAUUCAACAUAACAUAUAUAAACAUAUAGGUAAAGAGACAUAUAGAUAGCGAAUUCUAUAAGAUUUUUAUUUGCCUAUUUUUAAAAAUCUUUCUUACUUCAGACUGUUAUUGUUAUAAAAUAUUAUAAGAGUAAACACAAGGUAAAGGAGAAAAGUUACUAUCCUAGGCCUUUUCAAAUGAGAGAAAAACCUGAAGAAGCAGGGUACAGAAGUCAAACUUCUGAGAUAUUGAUACAGGAGCUAAAAAUAUUAUUUAGACAGAUCAUUAGGGCAACAGAGUCUUCAGCAAGGUUUCCCUUUUAACAAAAAUUGACCCCCAAAUAAUUCCUUUUCUAACAAACAGCAUCCUGAAAAGUCAAGCUGAAGAUGUAGAUAAGCAAGCUGGAAGCUUGCACAGAUGAAUACCUGCAGCUGUGCCAAUAGAAAAAGGCUACCUGAGAGCGAGGUGUAAAGUAAAUACAAGGAUGAAGUACUAUGGCAUGACCUUCUUCCCCUGGGAAGCGUUCUGCAAGUGCCAGCAUCAGAGAGAACUAAAAAAGCCAUUGGAGAUGCUGAUACAGGCUUGCUCUGUCACUGGCCUUUGUACAUAUCAGUAAAUUAUGACGAGCUAGUUAGCUAAGCUGUAGACAUCCCUCAGAUAGGAAAAAAUAACCUGGAAGAAAGGAAAAGAAGAGAACUGGUAUAUGCUCCUCUCACAGUCCCUAGAAAAAUUUAGUGACUGCUCCAGGAUACCAGCUCUGGGGACAACUAGACUCAGACACAAGUUUUGUAGAAGGUGAAUGGUCUGGAUCAUCCUAUGCACACACUCAGACUGAUCCACUAGCACUAGGAAGGGGUUAAUGUCAAAGAGCUUUGAAAAAUUGCAGGAAAGCUGGCCAAAUUAACUGCAAAAUUAGGACAAGACAGUAUAAGAACUCCAACAAGGAACCACUGGAGGUGAUGCUGAAAAGUUCCUCUCUCUUGGAGGUCAAAGAUUUCCUGGGGUUGUUUGCUAUGUAUGAGUGUGGUCCAGCACCAGGUCAAAAAGAUUAGCCCUCAACUAGAGAGAAAAUCAAAGGAGGAAUGAAGAAUUCCCGUAAUGCAAGCAUUGAUGCCACUGCCUCUACUGGGAAAGCUUGAUGUGAGAACUUUGGUCCAGUAUCCAUACCUCCUGCAAAGUAGGCUGGAGUUGGGUAAAAGAACCAAGACUCUGUAGCCUCUUCGUUGUGCCAGUCAAGUGAAGUUGUGUUUAGGCUCUAGCAUGACUAAGAAACCCACUGUUUUGUGCUUUAAAAUUUGGUUUCCUCUAGUUUCUUAAUGAAAUUUUUUUUUCUACAUUGCCCUCACAUUCUCAAGUGAACCAAGAGUAACAGGAAAUUCUCUCAUAUGGAAAGUAUUGGUGGACAUGACCUAAGAGAUCAUUCAUUAUAGGCAAAGGAGGGGACAUGUGAGUAUGGGCCCAUUUUUGGUUCCAGGAAAAAAUAGUGGUACUGGAGGUGCUAAGAGAAUGAGAAUCUAAAAGGGGGAGGGCUGGCUUCAGAACUUGGGAAACACAGUGCAAAAAUGGGGCCCAUCGUUCAAAAUUUAUCAAGAAUUUCAAAAUGGUGGCAGCAGAAUAUUAAGGCAAGUACUGGGUCCUUCUAAGCAUGUGACCCAGUGCUGCUGCUUGACUGUGCACCUGUGAAGCCAGUCCAGGAUAGGCCAAAUCAUGAGGGUCAGCCAAGGAGGUUGAUCUUGGCCUAUCUGGGUUUUCCCCUCAGAUGUGACCCAGUGGUCCAUUACCUACACUUUGUUUUCCUUACCAUAGAGCCAUUAACCACCUCUUGCUGAUGAUCUGAAUACUAUAUUUUAUAUAAAAGCUUUGACACCGACAGAAGAGGCACAUUAAAAUAUAAAAACACU